GAUUUGUCAAGCGAUGAUGAAAGUGAAGGACAAUCCCAUCCACCUGCAUCUUUAGUAUUGAAAAGUAGACCUCAAACACACACGAAUGAUGCAUUUGGGAUAAAUGACAUCCUGUUGCUAUGGAAAAUAACAAGAUUGUUUGAUAAUGGGGUGGAAUGCCGAGAGGCCUUAGAUGCUAUUAUUGAUCGAUGUUCAGCUCUGCAGAACAUACGCCAAGCAGUCUUGCAAUACAGGAAGUUGUUUAAUCAGCAGC
rnacentral:misc_RNA from 1 species